AUGGCACCAGCAAUACACAGUUUAUGUGCACAAAGCUCCUGGGAUGCACACGGGGGAUUAAAGCACAGGGAACCAGAUCCUAAACCACCAGAAGAAAAUGUUCAAUUCACGCCUUUCGUCUUUUCUAACAACUGCACUUCUGCGUACUUGAGCCACUCUCCGAAUAUCACUGGUUACAAGUAUUUGACACGAGGCGAUGCCAGGAAGCACUUUUGCUGGGUUUUGUUUUUCUGUGGAUGCAGAGCGCUGCCUAAAAAAAUCCCCAGCGAGAAAUACUUGACUGUCGUGGCCGCGCGGCCUGGAUUUUUCUUCCAGCACCAUGAGAUUUCAGACGGGUGUGCUUCUUGGUGUGCUAUGCCUGCUUCUCUCUACUGGACAGCAACAGAACUUGUGCUAUAUUGGCAUUUCAGACCUAUGAACCACGUAUCAGCUGAAUUCUGCUGAGAGGAAACUGUAUAAAUGGAAGACUAUGCAGGGCCAUUUCAACCACAGUACAUAAUUGAAGCCCCAGACCAUACUGAUUAUGGAAUUUAAACAGUAAACAGCCCACUGAUUUGCUGCCUUAAAUACGUAAUUUUUCAUCUCCAUCUUCCCCAGAUCCUGGAGAGGCUUUUAAGUUUAUCCUCAAGGCCAAAUAAUAUCUAAUAUGCUUUUGCAAUUCCACUCUUCUGUUCUCCUCCCAUACUCCUCUUGUGAACCUGAAUUGUUUCCAGUGGCCACGUCCGGCAGCCAGAAAAUGAGAAUUUGGAUGUGUGGUGCAAGCUUAUCUCAACAGUUCAGGUAUAAACAAGCAGAAAAGCGAACAUUAACCAGAAUUGUUUACAAUUUGUACACUGACCUGGCAUCUGCCACUUCAUCAGCUAUGUCUGUUAGAAGAUAGAUCCUCAUCUCUAUUUUCCACUAGGACAGAGGAAGUUCCUUCAACUACUUGCGUGCUUGUGCCAAAAACGUAACUGCAGUGAUGAUCAUGUGCAUCAAAACGAGAGAGGGCCAGCAGAGGACAGCAACUUCAUCCUUGUGCAGAAAAGAUGAACUGAAAUGAAGAUAACAAAAGCAAGAAGAUGAAUAGAAGAUCAAAGGAGAACAUACUGCUUUUUUCCCUCAAGGGUCUGAUACUCCAACCAUUAAAUCAAUGUCAAAACUCCCACUG
rnacentral:lncRNA from 1 species